rnacentral:tRNA from 1 species
GCGCUCGUAGCUCAACUGGAUAGAGUGUCGGCCUCCGAAGCCGAAGGUUGUGGGUUCGACCCCCGCCGGGCGCA